rnacentral:lncRNA from 10 species
CUAUGGAGUAGCCAUUCUUUUAUUCCUUUACUUUCCUAAUAAACUUGCUUUCACUUUAAUCUAUGAACUUGCUCUGAAUUCUUUCUAGCGCGAGAUCCAAGAACCCUCUCUUGGGGUCUGGAUCGGGACCCCUUUCCAGUAACAAGAGCAUUCUACUGCACUAUGUUCCAGCACCCAUGUUGCGAAGCCUGCUCAAGUAAGGGUGAUUCUCUGGGACACCAUCCUCCACGCAGACACGGACAUUCAGCCUGUUGCCAGAGAUGAAUAAACGUGUAAAGCAACAACUCUUGCACUCUGAAGUCACCUUACAACAAUGUCUUUUACGAUGAGUCUUGAGAAUGAGACCACCGAAUCUAAAUGUAGGCAUUGCCCAUAACAUUUGUUUCUAGAAAUGUUGUACAUGGCCUGCUCUUAUGUAUUUAUUUUUAAAAGAAAUAUUUUUUCUGCUGAUAAAAAUUUAAGCGAUGAUACAGAAGUGUGCAGAGUACAAAACUGAAAUCUCUUGUUUAUUUCCAUCUCUUUUGUGAGAAGCCUGUUAAUAUCCUUUGAAAUUCUUCUGCAAGCUUUGUCAUAUUAUAUUAUAAAGAGCACUUUAUAAGUUCAGUAUUUUUUACAGUUUCUCAUUCAUCUUUUUUGUUUGUUUGCCUGUGGGGUCGAUUAAGACUUGCUUUUAGAAAAAAACAAGGAGACGAAAACAGAGUGUGGGUCACAUUCUUUACACAGAGUUCACUCUCAUUUUUAAAGAAGAAUUGAUUCUAUUUUUUAGCUGAUCAGCAUAAAGUGCUUUAUUAAGCAUAAACUUG